CAGCAUGGGGGCUAGCAGCUAGGGUUUGGGUUCUGUGUGAUGCGAAAUAUUUAUACUCAUCCUGUGUUAAUCUGGACUGUCCAUCGCGAUCGAUCUCAUCUGUCCGAUCGCAUCUAUGGAGAAAACCAAUCUGGACUGUUCAUCACGUUUGAUCUCAACCGUUUAAUAGUACCUAAAGGAGAAACAGAUUCAGACCGUUCACGCUUGUGGGAUCAAUCCUGGGCCAUCCAAUCGCAGGGCAUAUGGAUUGCCAGCGUGACUUCCCGCGUGGUGUCGACAUCACCACACUUGGUCACGCGGCGUGCUCUGGUUCAUCGAGGCUGCUGAUUGGGUAGUCUUACGUGGUCGAACUUUUUUAUUUAUACUUUGGCCCUCUGUUUUUAAUUUUUCUUUCAAAAACAUCCCAUGAAUCCAAAUUU
rnacentral:lncRNA from 1 species